GUGCUUGCAGGUGCAGCACCAUCAAGAUUCACAUCCAGUUCAUCUUCAGUUAUGCGGUAGUUCGUUCACGCAGUUGCUAUAUCUGCGGCAUAUCUGAUGAGAUGAGAAUCUUGAUGAUGCUGCAUCAGCAGACAC
rnacentral:pre_miRNA from 1 species